rnacentral:tRNA from 1 species
GGUUCCAUGGUGUAAUGGCUAGCAAUCUGGACUCUGAAUCUAGCUAUAUGAGUUUGAAUCUCGGUGGAACCU